rnacentral:rRNA from 1 species
GACGAACGCUGGCGGUGUGCUUAACACAUGCAAGUGGAGCGACGAACCAGAGCUUGCUCUGGGGCAGAGCCGCGAACGGGUGAGUAACACGUGGGUAACGUACCCCGAUUACCGGGACAACCCGAGGAAACUCGGGCUAAUACCGGAUGUGCUCCCUCCCAUGAGGGGAGUGAGUAAAGGAAGCUUCGGCCUCCGAAAUCGGGAGCGGCCCGCGGCCUAUUAGUUGUUGGUGGGUAACGGCCUACCAAGACUGCGAUAGGUAGCUGGUCUGAGAGGACGAUCAGCCACACUGGGACUGAGACACGGCCCAGACUCCUACGGGAGGCAGCAGUGGGGAAUCUUGCGCAAUGCGCGAAAGCGUGACGCAGCAACACCGCGUGGGGGAAGACGGCCU